rnacentral:tRNA from 1 species
GCCACGGUGGUCUAGUGGUUAGAAGUCUGGCCUUGUAAUCCUGGGGUCUCGGGUUCGAUUCCCGGCGGUGCCC